AGUUUAGCUGAGGAUUUACAAUAUUUAUUUGUUAACAGUUGGUGAGUUAAUAUUGCUGCUUUGAAAUCCCAAAGUAACAAUAGGUGACGUCGACACGCAAGUGUCUUCGUCAACAUUUCGCCGUUUAAUGGGUUAAACGGCAAAAAUCCGUCUCAACAUGUUUUGUCUAAUUUCUAUGUCGUCACUUCCGUUCCGGGCUGCGCUUCAUCAGUCGUAAUUAGCAGAAAGCCAAAGGCACUGUUCUCUGCAGUCUGGAUGAGGCACACUGAGGCCUGAGAACCAUAACGGCCACUCAAGGUCAUAAACUGCGAGGAUAGAGGAUGUGUUGUUGGAAGGGAGAAGCUCCAGGCUGUGCUGCUCACAACUUUAAUGGUGAGAGUCAUCUGCAAUGUAGCCGCAGCUGAAUCACGUGUCCAACCCGCGGGACCGAGCAUCACGUGGUGAGAGGGACGUCACUCAGAGAGCACCUGACCUUCAACUCAUGGAGGCACACCGCGGCGGACAGUGACACCUUGACGCCCCUCCCCUGGUGGUCUCGCACUUUAAAAGCACGUGACA